UCCCUGGUGGUCCAGGGGUUGGGACUCUGUGCUUCCAACGCAGGGGGCCUGGGUUCGGAUCCUGGGCAGGGAA
rfam:Ovis aries breed Texel chromosome 10, whole genome shotgun sequence.